CUUCGUCGAUUUGCUGGGGGCAGAUGAAAUGGAUGUGGCAGUCGAUACCUCCGGCCGUCACGAUCAAACCUUCGCAGCUGAUGAUCUCGGUGCCGGGGCCGAUGACGAUGUCUACGCCCGGCUGUGUGUCGGGGUUGCCCGCUUUGCCUAUGGCGGCGAUGCGGUUGCCGCGCAAACCAAUGUCGGCUUUGACGAUCCCCCAGUGGUCGAUGAUGAGCGCGUUGGUGAGCACGCAGUCCAUCGCGCCUUCGGCAUUGGUGCGCUGCGAUUGCGCCAUGCCAUCGCGAAU
rnacentral:sRNA from 1 species